GCCGGGUACGGUGGCGCAUGCCUGUAAUCCCAGCCACUCGGGAGGCUGAGGCAGGAGAAUUGCUUGAACCCGGGAGGUGGAGGUUGCAGUGAGCCAAGAUCACGCCACUGCACUCCAGCCUGGGUGACAGAGCGAGACUCAGUCUCAA
ensembl:misc_RNA Metazoa_SRP Metazoan signal recognition particle RNA